rnacentral:rRNA from 1 species
AGGAUGAACGCUAGCGGCAGGCCUAAUACAUGCAAGUCGGACGGGAUAGAAGAGCUUGCUUUUCUUGAGAGUGGCGCACGGGUGCGUAACGCGUAUGUAACCUACCUUUAUCUGGGGGAUAGCCUCUCGAAAGAGAGAUUAACACCGCAUAACAUUAUGUUUCAGCAUUGGGAUAUAAUCAAAUAUUUAUAGGAUAAAGAUGGGCAUGCGGGACAUUAGCUAGAUGGUGAGGUAACGGCUCACCAAGGCGACGACGGGUA